UUUCUAUCUACAAUGUUCAAUCCCAACUUUUCUGAGUCCUAGUACGCAAGGAAUGGUCUCAGCGAUGCUCGACUAUAUUGGCCCCAUCGACGUAAUCAACUUCUGGCUGCUGCAAAGAAGGGAGAACAAAAGGUUUAGGGAUUAAUAAGGU
rnacentral:rRNA from 1 species